AUUGAACGCUGGCGGCAUGCUUUACACAUGCAAGUCGGACGAGUGGCGAACGGGUGAAUAAUAUAUCGGAACGUACCGAGUCAUGGGGUCUAACUAAUCGAAAGAUUAGCUACUACCGCAUAAUAUUCGAUCGGCCGAUAUCUGAUUAGCUAGUUGGUGGGGUAAAGGCCUACCAAGGCGAAGAUCAGUAGCGGGUCUGAGAGGCUGAUCCGCCACACUGGGACUGAGACACGGCCCAGACUCCUACGGGAGGCAGCAGUGGGGAAUUUUGGACAAUGGGCGAAAGCCUGAUCGAGCCAUGCCGCGUGUCUGAAGAAGGCCUUCGGGUUGUAAAGGACUGUUGUCAGGGAAGCGGUACCUGAAGAAUAAGCAACGGCUAACUACGUGCCAGCAGCCGCGGUAAUAC
rnacentral:rRNA from 1 species